rnacentral:rRNA from 1 species
UCCCAGACUCCUACGGGAGGCAGCAGUGAGGAAUAUUGGUCAAUGGACGAGAGUCUGAACCAGCCAAGUAGCGUGAAGGAUGACUGCCCUAUGGGUUGUAAACUUCUUUUAUAUGGGAAUAAAAUGUUCCACGUGUGGGAUUUUGUAUGUACCAUAUGAAUAAGGAUCGGCUAACUCCGUGCCAGCAGCCGCGGUAAUACGGAGGAUGCGAGCGUUAUCCGGAUUUAUUGGGUUUAAAGGGUGCGUAGGCGGGACGGUAAGUCAGCGGUAAAAAGGCGGAGCUCAACUCCGUCGAGCCGUUGAAACUGCCGUUCUUGAGUGAGCGAGAAGUAUGCGGAAUGCGUGGUGUAGCGGUGAAAUGCAUAGAUAUCACGCAGAACUCCGAUUGCGAAGGCAGCAUACCGGCGCUCAACUGACGCUCAUGCACGAAAGUGUGGGUAUCGAACAGGAUUAGAUACCCCGGUAAC